rnacentral:rRNA from 1 species
UACGUAGGUGGCAAGCGUUGUCCGGAUUUACUGGGCGUAAAGAGCGCGCAGGCGGUCGUUCAAGUCGGGUGUGAAAGCCCCCGGCUCAACUGGGGAGGGUCACGCGAUACUGAUCGACUCGAAGGCAGGAGAGGGUAGUGGAAUUCCCGGUGUAGUGGUGAAAUGCGUAGAUAUCGGGAAGAACACCAGUGGCGAAGGCGACUACCUGGCCUGUUCUUGACGCUGAGGCGCGAAAGCUAGGGGAGCAAACGGG